AAGGAAGAUUAAUACAAGAUGGCAUCAUGAGUCCGCAUGUUCACACGAUUAAAGGUAUUCCGGUAGACGAUGGGGAUGCGUUCCAUUAGAUAGUAGGCGGGGUAACGGCCCACCUAGUCUUCGAUGGAUAGGGGUUCUGAGAGGAAGGUCCCCCACAUUGGAACUGAGACACGGUCCAAACUCCUACGGGAGGCAGCAGUGAGGAAUAUUGGUCAAUGGGCGAGAGCCUGAACCAGCCAAGUAGCGUGAAGGAUGACUGCCCUAUGGGUUGUAAACUUCUUUUAUAAAGGAAUAAAGUCGGGUACGGAUACCCGUUUGCAUGUACUUUAUGAAUAAGGAUCGGCUAACUCCGUGCCAGCAGCCGCGGUAAUACGGAGGAUCCGAGCGUUAUCCGGAUUUAUUGGGUUUAAAGGGAGCGUAGAUGGAUGUUUAAGUCAGUUGUGAAAGUUUGCGGCUCAACCGUAAAAUUGCAGUUGAUACUGGAUAUCUUGAGUGCAGUUGAGGCAGGCGGAAUUCGUGGUGUAGCGGUGAAAUGCUUAGAUAUCACGAAGAACUCCGAUUGCGAAGGCAGCCUGCUAAGCUGCAACUGACAUUGAGGCUCGAAAGUGUGGGUAUCAAACAGGAUUAGAUACCCUGGUAGUCCACACGGUAAACGAUGAAUACUCGCUGUUUGCGAUAUACUGCAAGCGGCCAAGCGAAAGCGUUAAGUAUUCCACCUGGGGAGUAC
rnacentral:rRNA from 1 species